rnacentral:lncRNA from 1 species
CGCUUCUUAUAGCAUUUUCCAUCAUUUCACCAUUCAUAACUAUGUCAGAAAAACUUUUUGUGGCACUCUCUAACAUAUGAGUAAUGAACGAUGCUUUUAAUGUGUUAAUAAACAACAUAAUCAUCUUUUUCUCCAAAAGUGGUGGCUGAACUUGGACUGCGACUUCCCUCAAUCUUUGUGCAUACUGCUUAAAGCUUUCGCUCGGCUUCUUCUCUAUAUUUUGAAGACUGAUUCUAUCAGGAGUCAUGUCUGUUACAUGACUAUACUGUUUCAUGAACACUUACGCCAAAUCCCUCCAUGAACUAAUCAUGGUACGACUCAAUUGAUUGUACCAUUUAGAUGUUGCCCCUGCGAGGCUAUCCUGGAAAAAAUGUAUCAAUAACUGAUCAUUGUUAACAUAUCCGACCAUUUGCCUGCAGAACAUUGUGAUAUGAGCUUUUGGGCAACUUUUCCCAUUUUACUUUUUGAAUUCUGGCAUCUUAAACUUAUGAGGGAG